rnacentral:rRNA from 1 species
AAUGAACGUUGGCGGCGUGGAUUAGGCAUGCAAGUCGAGCGAGAACCGGAGCAAUCCGGGGAAAGCGGCAAACGGGGUAGUAAUGCAUCGGUACGUGCCCUCGGGUCGGGGAUAGCCAGGGGAAACCCUGAUUAAUACCCGAUAAUCUCGAGAGAGCAAAGGUUUACUGCCGGAGGAGCGGCCGAUGUGGCAUCAGGUAGUUGGCGGGGUAACGGCCCACCAAGCCUUAGACGCCUAGGGGGCGUGAGAGCGCGACCCCCACCACUGGGACUGAGAUACUGCCCAGACACCUACGGGUGGCUGCAGUCGAGAAUCUUCCGCAAUGGGCGAAAGCCUGACGGAGCGACGCCGCGUGCGGGAUGAAGGCCCUUGGGUUGUAAACCGCUGUCAGGGGGGAUGAAAGCCGCAAGGCUUGACAGAGCCCCAGAGGAAGCACGGGCUAAGUUCGUGCCAGCAGCCGCGGUAAGACGGACUGUGCGAACGUUAUUCGGAAUCACUGGGCUUACAGGGUGCGGUA